AGGGCAUACAGUGGAUGCCUAGGUAUCGGGAGGCGAUGAAGGGCGUGGUUAACUGCGAUAAGCCCCGGGUAGGAGUAAACAUCCUUUGAUCCGGGGAUUCCCGAAUGGGGAAACCCGAUUCCGUAAACCGGAAUCAGCUGUGUCUGAAUACAUAGGGCAUAGCGGCGAACCGGGUGAACUGAAACAUCUAAGUAACCCGAGGAAGAGAAAACAACCGUGAUUCCCCCAGUAGUGGCGAGCGAAAGGGGAAGAGCCCAAAUCCCUUAGGAUGUUAAAGACUGCGAUCGUUGUCUUAGGGGAGGUUGCGGGGCGCAGCCGUUAUUCCUUCGCAGAGGAAUAGAGUAAUCUGCUGUAUCUAGUUGAAGCGUACUGGAAAAGGCGCACCAGAGAGGGUGACAGUCCCGUAAGCGAAAGAUAUAACAGAACUCAGGCAGCGUUCCCGAGUAGGGCGGGGCCCGAGAAACCCCGUCUGAAUCCGGAAGGACCACCUUCCAAGGCUAAAUACUACCCGAUGACCGAUAGUGAACCAGUACCGUGAGGGAAAGGCGAAAAGAACCCCGGGAGGGGAGUGAAAUAGAACCUGAAACUGUGUGCCUACAAGCGGUGGGAGCCCUAUGGGUCCUGCAGUCUUCGCAUUCUUCGGAAUCCGGAGACGGGGAUCAACGGGUGACCGCGUGCCUUUUGCAUAAUGAACCGGCGAGUUAUAGGAUGCAGCGAGGUUAAGUUCUUUAAGGGACGGAGCCGUAGCGAAAGCGAGUCUUAAACGGGCGAUCAAGUUGCAUUUUAUAGACCCGAAACCAGGUGAUCUAUCCAUGGACAGGGUGAAGGCGUUGUAACAGGCGCUGGAGGCCCGAACUGAUGAACGUUGAAAAGUUCUUGGAUGAUCUGUGGAUAGUGGUGAAAGGCCAAUCAAACCUGGUAAUAGCUGGUUCUCCCCGAAAUAGCUUUAGGGCUAGCCUGGCAGCUUAAGCAGCGGUGGUAGAGCACUGGAUAGAAUACAGGGGGGCAACCUCUUGUAUCUAACCAAACUCCGAAUGCUGCUGUGUAUGCUGCUGGAGUCAGACUGCGGGGGAUAAGCUCCGUGGUCUAAAGGGAAACAGCCCAGACCAUACGCUAAGGUCCCUAAAUGUAAGCUGAGUGCAUCAAAGGAAGUGGGGUUACUCAGACAGAUAGGAGGUUAGCUUAGAAGCAGCUACCCUUUAAAGAGUGCGUAACAGCUCACUAUUCAAGCGACCCUGCGCCGAAAAUUUGCGGGGCUAAGCUUACUGCCGAAGCGAUGGAUUUCGUUCUUCUACGGAGGAACGGAGUGGUAGGGGAGCGUUCUGUUGUAGGUUGAAGGUCUACCGUAAGGAGGGCUGGACGAAGCAGAAGCGAGAAUGCCGGUAUGAGUAGCGAAAAUAAGGUGAGAAUCCUUAACGCCGAAAACCUAAGGUUUCCUGAGUAAAGUAACUCUUCUCAGGGUUAGUCGGUCCUAAGGCGAGGCCGAAAGGCGUAGUCGAUGGACAACAGGUUAAUAUUCCUGUACCGCCUGCAGCGCGUUAACAGCCGUAGAGAGACGCAUUGGGGCAGACCAUCCUCCUGCUGAAAUAGGAGGUCUAACCCGGCGAAAGCCGGGGAAUGGGACCCGGCGGCUUCGGCCAACGGGGAACUGGUUCAUCCCGGUGACAGGAAAAUCUCUAUAGGUGAGUUCUGCAGGUGUCCGUACCGCAAACCGACACAGGUAGGUGGGGAGAGAAUCCUAAGGCGUGCGAGCAAACUCUCGUUAAGGAACUCGGCAAAUUAGCCCCGUAACUUCGGGAGAAGGGGUGCCUCCGCAAGGAGGUUGCAGUGACCAGGCUUGGGCGACUGUUUAUCAAAAACACAGGCCUCUGCUAACACGUAAGUGGAUGUAUAGGGGCUGACGCCUGCCCGGUGCUGGAAGGUUAAGGGGACGUGUUAGCCUGAACUGAUUUAUCAGAUCAGGCGAAGCUCAGAACCGAAGCCCCAGUAAACGGCGGCCGUAACUAUAACGGUCCUAAGGUAGCGAAGUUCCUUGUCAGGUAAGUUCUGACCUGCACGAAUGGCGCAACGCUCCGAGCACUGUCUCGACGAGAGACUCGGCGAAAUUGUAGUAUCGGUGAAGAUACCGAUUACCUGCAGCGGGACGGAAAGACCCCGGCACCUUUACUGUAACUUAACAUUGGGUUAUAAUUUGGAAUGUAGAGAAUAGGUGGGAGGCUUUGAAGCCAGGACGCAAGUCCUGGUGGAGCCGCCCCUGGAAUACCACCCUUUCCAAGUUGUAAUUCUAACCUGCUGCCGUUAUCCGGCAGGGGAACAGUGUUUGGUGGGCAGUUUGACUGGGGCGGUUGCCUCCUAAAAUGUAACGGGGGCGCCCAAAGGUUCUCUCAGGACGUAUAAAAGUCGUCCGUAGAGCGCAAAGGUAUAAGAGAGCUUAACUGCGAGACAUACAGGUCAAGCAGGUGGGAAACCAGGGCUUAGUGAUCCGGCGGUUCCAUGUGGAAGGGCCGUCGCUCAUCGGAUAAAAGGUACGCCGGGGAUAACAGGCUUAUCUCCCCCAAGAGUUCAUAUCGACGGGGAGGUUUGGCACCUCGAUGUCGGCUCAUCGCAUCCUGGGGCUGGAGUAGGUCCCAAGGGUUGGGCUGUUCGCCCAUUAAAGCGGUACGCGAGCUGGGUUCAGUCCGUCGUGAGACAGGGCGGUCCCUAUCUGCUGCAGGCGUAGGAUAUCUGAGGAGAGCUGACCUUAGUACGAGAGGACCGGGUUGGACAGACCUCUAGUGUACCAGUUGUCCCGUCAGGGGCACCGCUGGGUAGCUAUGUCUGGAAGGGAUAACCGCUGAAAGCAUAUAAGCGGGAAGCCCACUCCAAGAUAAGAUAUCCCCUCUGUAUCCU
rnacentral:rRNA from 1 species